AUGGGCCCCUUUUGUAUGAAAUCUCUUCAGAAGAUUCUGAUGGCUCAUCUUUAGUUGGGAUGUUUGCUAACCCCUUAAAAAGAAAGAGCCUGUUUUGUCAUCUGAAGAAUAUUUUGUCAUGAGAAACAAGCAAUAUAGUGUGUGCCCUCUCAAGGAUGCUUUGGAAAUGCAGGACAAGGAUGCCCUGGAAAUUCGGGAUAGCUCGAAUGUACAGGAUGCUUAAACCCAUACUGCUCCAGCAAGUUGCAUGAGACUUUCAAGAGAGCCUUAAUGAGAUCUCACAGCAGCCAGCAAAAUGGAGACCUACCAGUCUUCUGACCAAGUAUGGUAGCCAGAUGCCUGCUUCUAGGCAAAGGUCUGAAUCCAAUUAUUCAGCAAAAAGCAGCAUGAGAUCACCUUCUAACAUCUCUCCAGCUCCUUUGGGGUAGGUGA